UGAGAGGAUGGGAAAAAUUUAAAACAAAAAAAUAAACCAUAGACUUCUUUAAGUCAUAUAUACAUGUUGCUUGCACUUUUACCUCCCUCCCAUCCUAAAUCUUUACCUUAUUUUGCUAUCGAUGAAAAUAAUAUUCAUUAUUUUUUAAGAUAAAACAUUUAAAAUACCAGACAUAUUAUUCAAAUGGCUUUAUUGUGGUGGUACAUUCUUUAAUUAUAGCAAAUAUUCCUAUCUUUUUCCUACAUCUUAACUGCGUAUAAAGCUAUUUUAAGUAUUAAAUUCAAUUUUUAAUUGUUUUAUUUUCAAUUUUAAGUUGAAAUCUAUUGAUAUACA